CCUACGGGAGGCAGCAGUGAGGAAUAUUGGUCAAUGGGCGGGAGCCUGAACCAGCCAAGCCGCGUGAGGGAAGAAGGUACAGCGUAUCGUACACCUCUUUUGUCAGGGAACAAAGGCGGGGACUAGUCCCCGGCUGAGGGUACCUGAAGAAAAAGCAUCGGCUAACUCCGUGCCAGCAGCCGCGGUAAUACGGAGGAUGCGAGCGUUAUCCGGAUUUAUUGGGUUUAAAGGGAGCGUAGGUGGAUUGUUAAGUCAGUUGUGAAAGUUUGCGGCUCAACCGUAAAAUUGCAGUUGAAACUGGCAGUCUUGAGUACAGUAGAGGUGGGCGGAAUUCGUGGUGUAGCGGUGAAAUGCUUAGAUAUCACGAAGAACUCCGAUUGCGAAGGCAGUUCACUGGACUGCAACUGACACUGAGGCUCGAAAGUGUGGGUAUCAAACAGGAUUAGAUACCCGAGUAGUC
rnacentral:rRNA from 1 species